rnacentral:lncRNA from 1 species
AAUUAAAUUAAAAUUUUUUUAAAGUCAUGGAAAGGAUGAGGAGACCAUGAUACCAUGGACAAGAGUUGGAGAGGCAGAGGCCAGGGGUUGGGAAAGUGGCACACACAGAAGCAUGGCUGGAGGACACAACAGGGACCCUCAUGAGGCAACGAGGGAGGAAAGAGAUGGUGGCACGAGAAGGAAGCACGACUGCAGCUAGAGCCAGGGAGAUGGAAGGAGGAGGGUGGAGGAGAUGGUGGAAGAAAGGUCCCUGCCAGCGCAGAGAGGAGGGAGACCUGCCCGGGCCCUUGCCUGGCACGGUCCUGGCCAGGUACAGUUGGGUAGGAGGUGACA